rnacentral:rRNA from 1 species
AACGUAGGGGGCGAGCGUUGUCCGGAAUCAUUGGGCGUAAAGAGCACGUAGGCGGCCUGUUAAGUCGGAUGUGAAAACCCGCGGCUCAACCGCGGGACUGCAUUCGAAACUGGCAGGCUAGAGUCCGGUAGAGGAAAGUGGAAUUCCAAGUGUAGCGGUGAAAUGCGCAGAUAUUUGGAAGAACACCGGUGGCGAAGGCGGCUUUCUGGGCCGAGACUGACGCUGAGGUGCGAAAGCUAGGGGAGCGAACAGG